AUUACUAUAAAAGUCAACGGAUAGCAAAUUUUCUGUAUAGCUUUGUAUUGCCUCGUUGAAAUUUUCACCAUGAAAACCAGUGUUGCUGUUAUCAUUCUUCUCGUUUGCCUUUCGGGCAUGAUAAUAGAUCAAACCGAAGGAAAGAAAAUACGAUGUAGAUGGGGCGGAUGUCCUUCAAACAAAGCCUGUAAUCUCUGUUGUGACCACUUAAGACAGGGCUGUAUUGGUGGGCGGUGUAAAGGAUGGCUUAGGACAAAAUGUGAAUGUAACUGUCCUUCUGGAUAAUUCAAGAGAGACAAUCCAAAUUAUUUUAAAGAGUAUGAUCGUUGAUGAUUGGAUGUUGAACGCCUGAUUUGUAAAUUGUUUUUAAUUGUAGCAUUAUGAUUAUGUAAAUUUUGUGUGAUUCUCUUUCUCUCAUUGGUCAAAUAAAAUUGAUUUGAACAA